GAUGAACGCUGGCGGCGUGCCUAAUACAUGCAAGUCGAGCGAACAGACGAGGAGCUUGCUCCUCUGACGUUAGCGGCGGACGGGUGAGUAACACGUGGAUAACCUACCUAUAAGACUGGGAUAACUUCGGGAAACCGGAGCUAAUACCGGAUAAUAUAUUGAACCGCAUGGUUCAAUAGUGAAAGACGGUUUUGCUGUCACUUAUAGAUGGAUCCGCGCCGCAUUAGCUAGUUGGUAAGGUAACGGCUUACCAAGGCAACGAUGCGUAGCCGACCUGAGAGGGUGAUCGGCUACACUGGAACUGAGACACGGUCCAGACUCCUACGGGAGGCAGCAGUAGGGAAUCUUCCGCAAUGGGCGAAAGCCUGACGGAGCAACGCCGCGUGAGUGAUGAAGGUCUUCGGAUCGUAAAACUCUGUUAUUAGGGAAGAACAAAUGUGUAAGUAACUAUGCACGUCUUGACGGUACCUAAUCAGAAAGCCACGGCUAACUACGUG
rnacentral:rRNA from 1 species